UACAUACAGUUUUAAUUAUAAUUGAAAGUGAGGCAGUCAUUAAAAGCUCAGUUGCAACACUCUGCAACAAAACAACACUCGGAAGUUUUUCGAGUGGAAAUACAAGAAGAGUCACAUUGAAGAUAAGUUUGCAAACAGCGAAACAAAACGACAUAGAAUGUAUGUUAACAGUUCUUUCCAAAAGCACUAAAGAAAUGGCAAAAAUUGAGAAGUGUUAACGAUUUUGACCUGCAAAUUUUACUUUUAAAUKCGACAUUUUUGGUAGUUGAUUGGGGCCGAUUUACACAUGCGAAAAUYUGUUGUUGRCCGAAUAGUUCGGAAACACUAAUAUCAURCCGACAAAGUUAUUCMACUGCAAGAGUUAUUUGAAGAUUAUUUCAAUAGGCAAAAUGAGUUUUGCGAAAGGAUGCAAAAGACAUGAAUUGACAAACAGAACGCACCUGCUUUAGCGACUUUGGGCAGAGAAAAUGUGAAAACACUAUAGAAAAAAAAGAAAAAUUAGAUCUACGCGCUAAAGCAGGCAAUGUGUGCCAUCUACUUAUCGAGUCUAAAGUUUGAAUCAAAAACCCCAUAAAUAAGCAAAAUGCAAUUUUUAUCCUAACAUUUUGGAAAAUGCAUUCAAAACUCUAAGAAGCAGACGUGACUGAAGAAAGCUCGUACCCAUAAAAUAUCAUCCCUAGAACGGUUAUCGGCUAUUUAAAUAAAUACCCAUUUCCAAGAAUAAAAAAGUAAAAGAACCCAUUAUUUAUUUAGCUUAAUCAAGCCAUUUAAUGAUACUUG